rnacentral:lncRNA from 1 species
CCCAGGCCCUCCCUAUGACUAUGAUGAAGGGUACUGAAAGGGUGGACAACAAAUGCUCAAACUGGCCAGAGCACUGAAUAACCAAUGCUGGGAGCCUGGAGCUUUGUUCUAUUUCUCUUCCUGGCUGGAUUUGAGCAGGUAUGGAGGCCUAAUUAGAUCACUCUAGAGCUCCUACAACCUCUGGACAAUUAAAUUCUGUUAGCACUUUGCCAGGAUUCUCCUCUACUAAUUGUUCAUUCUCACUUCAUUGUAAUGGCUGUGGAAGUGUUUGAAUGGAUUAUUUCAUCUGAUCCUUACUUCCCUGUAAAAUAGGUGGUAAAGUCCUUGUGAAGAAGCUAUUAGCUGGAGAAAGGCAUACUGCUAGAAAGUAGCAGAUCUAAAACACAUCUCCAAAUCAAUCCUUUGAUAAGAAACCCAGUGCAAGGACUGGGGAUGUGGCUUGGUGGCAAAGUGCUUACCUAGCAUGUGCAAGGCCCUGAAUUUAAUCCCCAGCACCAAACAUAAAUAAGAAACUCAGUGCAUGUUCUACUGGCACAAUAUUUUAAAAAGAAAGAAACUCCCCAAUUUUUCCUAUCACACAGGAAAAAAAAUCUAAGAUUCAUAAUAUACAGUGUUGAUAAAUGGAGAAUUUCCUCUCCAUCACAAUUGGUAGAAACAUAAAUACAACUUUUUUAGAAGGAAAUUUAGCAGAAUCCAUCAGUAUUGACAAACUUUAAAAUUCAUGAUCUAACAAUUCCACAUUAGAAAUGUUUUAUAAAAAUACUAGCAUAAAUGUGUAAAGAAAUUCAGACAAGGUUGUUCAUUGAAACCUAAUUGGCAAUUAGGGGAAAAAAAGAAAAAGAAUGUUUAAAUAAUUCCACAAACAUUACUAUAAAGACUAAAAUGGCAUACCAUAUAGGUUGAGCUACUGUGACCAUUCAGUGACCAAUGACAAUCCAACCUUGAAAGAUGAAGUUUAGUGUCAAUAAAUACUGGCUAAUGGGCUGAGGUUGUGGCUCAGUGGUAGAGUGCUUACCUAGCACAUGGGAGGCCCUGGGUUAGAUCCUCAUCACCACAUAAAAAUGAAGGUAUUGUGUCCAACUACAACUAAAAAAAUCAGUAUUUAAAAAAAAUAAUGGUAGCUGGCAGAAUAACUCAGUAGCAUAUGCCAAAUAAAAUAAAUACUGGUAGUUUACAAAAAGCACGACAUAAAAAACUACAGGACAAUUCCAUUUCAAAGCAGCUGAGCCUACCAUGAAGACGCCAUGAGCAAAGGUCUCCCUCCUGAGCUGAAAACAUUUGUGGACAAGAGGUUAUGGAAAUUAAACAGUGGCAGACAUGUCUAAGGAAUUUUGCAGGGCUUUGAUCCCUUUAUGAAUCUUAUGACAGAUGAAUGUGUGGAAAUGGCAACUAGUGGGCAACCUAAUAAUACCUAAAUAGUCUAAUUUGAGGAAAUAAACAUUAUCAGCAUGUUAGAAGCCUUGGAACAAGUAUAAUGACUUUCAGAAAUGCAUCUCCUCUCUCAAAGGGCCUGUUUAUAUGAUGUAAAAAUCAGGUCACUGGGGAUGAAACCCAAGGCCUUGUACAUGUUAAGCAAGUGCUCUAUCACUGACCUACAUUCCCAGCCCAGGUUGGAUCCUUUUGCUAGGAAGUGCAUUACUGAGACAAGUGGCAAAAUUUGAAUGGGACCUUUGAACGGUGUAUGGGAGUGUUUGGUGCUAUUUUGGAGCUAUUCAUGCAACUUUUCUGUAAAUUUGAUUCUUUUUUUUUUUUCAAGAAGAUAGUGACUUCCAGCCAUUCUCGUUUUAGUGCCUUAAAUUUUUUCAAUUGCAAAAGGAAAAGUUUUGUCUUUAGCAAUUCAAACUGUACCAAUCAUUAAAAAUUUAAAUAUUCUCCAUUCCCACACAUAUUUUAUUUCCCAGAGCUCACUGUUGUUUAUUUAUUUAUAUAUAUAUAGUUUUGGUUUUACAAAAGCAGGAUAUUGUAUGUAUUAUUUGACCUCAUCCUUUUUUUCCAUUGUAUGGAUUAUCAUUUAUCCAUUCUUGUAUUGAUAGCAUUAGGUAGCUUUAAAAUUAUGCUUCAUAAUGAUCAAAGGAUCAACAUAUUAGCAAGAUAAGACUGUUAUAACCUUAUGUAUGUAUGUACCUAAUAAUAGAACCUUCAGAUCUUCUGAAGCAACAAUUGUACACACAGGCUAUGCCUGAAAUUACUUUACUACUGGGCAUAACUUAAUAGUUCUGUUAAAUAUUGCAUCACAUUUCUUGAAUAGAAUUUAUUUUUAGUGCUGCGUAAUACUCCAUUGUGUAUAAAUGCCACAGUUUUUUAAUCCAUUCAUCUAUUGAAGGGCAUCUGGGUUGAUUCCAAAGUCUAGCUAUUGUGAAUUGUGCUGCCAUGAUCAUUGAUGUGGCAGUAUCCCUAUAGUAUGCUCUUUUAAGGUCCUCAGGGAAUAGACCGAGAAGGGCGAUAGCUGGGUCAAAUGGUGGUUCCAUUCCCAGCUUUCCUAGGAAUCUCCAUACUGCUUUCCAUAUUGGCCGCACCAGUUUGCAGUUCCACCAGCAAUGUACAAGUGUACCCUUUUCCCCACAUCCUCGCCAGCACUUAUUGUUGCUUGACUUCAUAAUGGCUGCCAAUCUUACUGGAGUGAGAUGGUAUCUUAGGGUGGUUUUGAUUUGCAUUUCUCUGACUGCUAGAGAUGGUGAGCAUUUUUUCAUGUACUUAUUAUGGAGUAUUACGCAGCACUAAAAAAUGACAAAAUCAUGGAUUUUGCAGGGAAAUGGAUGGCAUUAGAGCAGAUUAUGCUAAGUGAAGCUAGCCAAUCCUUAAAAAACAAAUGCCAAAUGUCUUCUUUGAUAUAAAGAGAGCAACUAAGAUCAGAACAGGGAAGAAGAGCAUGAGGAAAAGAUUAACAUUAAACAGAGACGAGUGGGGGGAGAGAAAGGGAGAGAGAAGGGAAACUAUGGAAAUGGAAGGAGACCCUCAUUGUUACACAAAAUUACAUAUAAGAGUUUGUGAGGGGAAAGGGGAAAAAAAAACAAGGGAGAGAAUUAAACA